CCUUUUCAUUUUCAAUGGUGUUGAUUACCCAUUUAUUUGUCUCUGCCUGCAAGUCGUCCUCCUAAAAGGAAUGGGCAACGGAAAAGAAAAUCAAGAAAGAGGUAGAGGUACAGCAAGACACAAUACAGACACAGCGUUCAGCUUAGCUUGAUGGGGGAGAACUGGGUGCACAGUGCUGUAGCUGUGGGAUAGAGGAGACAGCAACAGAGAGGGCUUCGUCCUGAGCCCUAUACUACGAAUCAGGACAAUGACCCAACACACAUCCAGGCUGUGUAAGGGCUAUUUGAUCAUGAAGGAAAGUGAUGGAGUGGUGCAUCAGAUGACCUGACCUCCACAAUCCCCUGACCUCAACCCAAUUGAGAUGGUUUGGGAUGAGUUGGACUGCAGAGUGAUGGUAAAACAGCCAACAAGUGCUCAGCAUAUGUGGGAACUCCUUCAAGACUGUUGGAAAAGCCUUCCAGAUGAAGC
ensembl:lncRNA